rnacentral:tRNA from 2 species
GGAGAGGUGCCAGAGCGGUUGAAUGGGCCGGUCUUGAAAACCGGUAGGGCCUUACGGCUCUCGUGGGUUCAAAUCCCACCCUCUCCG